CCCGCCGUAGCUCAGUGGUAGAGCACCCGGCUGUAGACCGGGGGGUCGCCGGUUCAAAUCCGGCCGGCGGGACCA
rnacentral:tRNA from 1 species